CCUACGGGGGGCAGCAGUGGGGAAUAUUGCGCAAUGGGCGAAAGCCUGACGCAGCGACGCCGCGUGAGGGAUGAAGGUCUUCGGAUCGUAAACCUCUGUCAGCAGGGAAGAACGGUCACUGUGCUAAUCAGCAGUGAAUUGACGGUACCUGCAAAGGAAGCACCGGCUAACUCCGUGCCAGCAGCCGCGGUAAUACGGGGGGUGCGAGCGUUAAUCGGAAUUACUGGGCGUAAAGCGCUCGUAGGCGGUAUGUCAAGUCAAGGGUGAAAUCCCCGCGCUCAACGUGGGAACUGCCUUUGAAACUGGCAAACUGGAGUGUGUGAGAGGAUAGUGGAAUUCCAGGUGUAGGAGUGAAAUCCGUAGAUAUCAGGAGGAACAUCAGUGGCGAAGGCGACUAGCUGGAACAUAACUGACGCUGAGGAGCGAAAGCGUGGGUAGCAAACAGGAUUAUAUACCCCAGUAGUC
rnacentral:rRNA from 1 species